rnacentral:lncRNA from 1 species
AGGCUGUUUUAAUUUGCAAAAAUUCUCAAGCAUACUUACCUUGCAUUUAUUGCUUGAUCAAAACGGGAUUCGAAGAGGGGAAUGUCAUACUCUUAGAUCAAGGACUUUGGAAAUUAAAAACUUUGUCAACUCUUGCUGGCAUAUUACUUAUUAGAGGGACCAUGGGCUAUCAUUCUCUUUUUCUUCUCUUUUUUUAAGUGGAUACCGAGGUACUCUAAUUCUACUGCUGGACACUUAUCUAUUUUUUUCUGCGAGGUUAUCGAGCACUUGCUCCUUUUUAUUUCCUCGAAAUAUCUUUAUUUUUGCAUAGCCCAUGCUUCUAAUGCAAUAAUACUUUGGAAGAGUGAAUCUUUCUGAAUAAAUGUCUUGAUCUUAGGAGCAUGAUAAAUCUCUCAACAAGGGUCUAACUCAUUUUGAACAAACUCAAUACAGAGUAGAUAGCCUUUUAUAAUCAUAAUUAAUAUUUUCAGUUUUAGUAGGCAUAUAAAACACUGAGGAUGGUAGCUAGAAUUUUUGAAUAAAUUCUCCAAGCAACAAUGAUAUCAAGAAUAAGAAAC